rnacentral:rRNA from 1 species
UACGGAGGGGGCUAGCGUUGUUCGGAAUUACUGGGCGUAAAGCGCACGUAGGCGGCUUUGUAAGUUAGAGGUGAAAGCCCAGGGCUUAACCCUGGAAUUGCCUUUAAGACUGCAUCGCUAGAAUCGUGGAGAGGUGAGUGGAAUUCCGAGUGUAGAGGUGAAAUUCGUAGAUAUUCGGAAGAACACCAGUGGCGAAGGCGACUCACUGGACACGUAUUGACGCUGAGGUGCGAAAGCGUGGGGAGCAAACAG